rnacentral:rRNA from 1 species
CCUACGGGUGGCAGCAGUGGGGAAUAUUGGACAAUGGGGGCAACCCUGAUCCAGCCAUGCCGCGUGUGUGAAGAAGGCCCUCGGGUUGUAAAGCACUUUCAGUGAGGAAGAACGCCUGGUGGUUAAUACCCAUCAGGAAAGACAUCACUCACAGAAGAAGCACCGGCUAACUCCGUGCCAGCAGCCGCGGUAAUACGGAGGGUGCGAGCGUUAAUCGGAAUUACUGGGCGUAAAGCGCGCGUAGGUGGCUUGAUAAGCCGGUUGUGAAAGCCCCGGGCUCAACCUGGGAACGGCAUCCGGAACUGUCAAGCUAGAGUGCAGGAGAGGAAGGUAGAAUUCCCGGUGUAGCGGUGAAAUGCGUAGAGAUCGGGAGGAAUACCAGUGGCGAAGGCGGCCUUCUGGACUGACACUGACACUGACGUGCGAACGCUUUUUUCUCGCCCACGCUUCUCUCCCCGGGUAGUC